UGUACCCGCCUUGUCUUAAGCAUUACAAUAASCGGAGGAAAAGARACCAACAGGGAUUGCCUUAGUAACGGCGAGUGAAGCGGCAACAGCUCAAAUUUGAAAGCUGGCCCUUUUAGGGUCCGCAUUGUAAUUUGUAGAGGAUGAUUCGGSGAGGGCUCCUGCCUAAGUCCCCUGGAACGGGGCGUCAUAGAGGGUGAGAAUCCCGKAUGCGGYAGGUUGCCUUAGCCAUGUGAAUCUCCUUCGACGAGUCGAGUUGUUUGGGAAUGCAGCUCUAAAUGGGAGGUAAAUUUCUUCUAAAGCUAAAUACCGGCCAGAGACCGAUAGCGCACAAGUAGAGUGAUCGAAAGAUGAAAAGCACUUUGGAAAGAGAGUUAAAAAGUACGUGAAAUUGUUGAAAGGGAAGCGCUUGCAACCAGACUUGUCCGCAKUUGCUCAGCCGGUCUCCUGRCCGGYGUACUCUUCUGCGGCCAGGCCAGCAUCAGUUCGGGCGGWCGGAUAAAGGCCUCGGGAAUGUGGCUCCUCUCGGGGAGUGUUAUAGCCCGGGGUGCAAUGCGRCCASCCUGGACUGAGGAACUCGCUUCGGCAAGGAUGCUGGCGUAAUGGUUGUAAGCGGCCCGUCUUKAAACACGGACCAAGGAGUCUAACAUCUAUGCGAGUGUUCGGGUGUCAAACCCGUACGCGUAAUGAAAGUGAACGGAGGUGGGAACCCGCAAGGGUGCACCAUCGGCCGAUCCUGAUGUYUUCGGAUGGAUUUGAGCAAGAGCAUAGCUGUUGGGACCCGAAAGAWGGUGAACUAUGCCUGAAUAGGGUGAAGCCAGAGGAAACUCUGGUGGAGGCUCGCAGCGGUUCUGACGUGCAAAUCGAUCGUCAAAUUUGGGUCAUAGGGGCGAAAGACUAAUCGAAYCAUCUAGYMCGACUGGUUCCCUGCCGAAUUCCCCCCUCGGGAUAA
rnacentral:rRNA from 1 species